UCCUGGUUAUUUUAAGACGUGAUCAAGUGCACAACAUUGCUUGCAAUCAUUGUAUAACAUCUGAUAUGUCAUUAGCUCCUCUAUCAACUAGUGAAAAUGCACUCUGUUGAAAUGCAGUUGAUUUUUCUGAUGAUCAAGUGGAAGCUACAAAAUUUGCAGUUCGAUUUAAAGGUAAAGACAUUUUAGACAGCUUUAAGAAAGUCUUCAAUGAUUGCAUUGAAAUAAUAAAACAAAAUCCACCAACUCUCAGCAAUGAAAUUUCAGGAGCUGAGCAAUCUGGGACCCCGAUUAGUUCUCAACCUGAAAUUAAAUCUCCUGAAUCACCAGUCAAAAAUCAAACUAAACAAAGUGAAGAAUCUGCUGUAAAUGACGAUCCAAAUUCAGAUGAGAUAAGUGAUGAAUACGAAUUACUGUUUGAAAAAAGAGUUACAUACGAAAUAAUGGAUGGCAAUGAGAGCAUAA